UCAUUGGUCUCAGCUGAACCUUUUGAUAUUGUGGGAUUCCUGGGGGUAAAUUCCUGCGUGACAGGUGAGGCCACAUAACAGCACUCCUGGGCUGAAACGCUGAGAUCAAGACUGAAAGGCAAACUGUCCGCAAUAUCUAUUCCUUAAUUUCCCUUCUGGAAACAUCUCUUCCCAGAACUACCUUCCUACUCUGACCAUUCUCUCCCUCACUGAGUAAACCGGAAACCCACUUUAACCCACUUGUUAUCCCUCACAGCUAUGGAGGGAUAACUUGGAAAUAGCAAAAUCAACUCACAAGUUCAGGUGUUAACAGGCAAGGAAGCCCCUCCUAGUUUUCUUCCCUCUCAAAAGACAUUUGCAUUUAACAACUAUCCGGGAUGAACUGGAGGGGAUUUUACACUCUGAGGCAAGACCAGAGCAGUGCAGAGCUGGGUGGGGAGUUGCCAGUGUUUCUGGAGUCAUUCAGGCUCAGCUUGGCAGUCUUGGGAAGAACACGGGUCCCCUCUGGGCCUCUUGCCGGCUCUCACAGGCCAGCAGGAAGAAACGGCCUUUGGCCGAUGCUGAUGGAGUUAGCGGAGGAGCAGAAAGGAGGCGCCUUCUGAAGCACAGCCUUCCUGUUACACAGCAAAUCACCUUUGGGAUGUUCCUGAUGUUUCAUAUGCAUUACUUCAGGGAAACCUCAGAAAAGUCCCUACUGAGCACCAGACAACAGGAAAGAAUGUUAUUAUUACCAGCACGGAAAAGAACAGCUACUUGACAGAAGAGACAACCCCAACCAUCCUCACUGUAAGAAGAGUGUUACUUCUCUGUAAGAAGCCGCCUCCCUGGCAGCUGCCAUUAUUACAGGUGCCUCGCCCUCACCUAAACUCCAAAGACAACCACAUAUUUGAGCACUAAUUAUUUGUGAGAGGCUGCAAAAGAGAGGAGAAUAAUGUGUCAUUUUUUAAUAGAGAGCUGCAGGGCUGCAUAGUAGCGAUGAGAAGACAAGGGGCUUGUCUUGGGUGACUGAACAAAUUCUAGGGCAGCCACGGCUGCACCCCUGGGGGCAGAGGAGUGAUGGUCACUGGGGGCCACUCGGGCAUCCCUGGCAUUACUGAUGGGAGAGGCAAUGGUGUGCAUUGGUGCGUGCGCACACCCUGGCCCCGGGGAUACUGAGGCAAAGACUAGACAUAGGCCCUGGGGAGGUCAAAUGUUACAUUUGAUAGGAGCAAACACUCUAGACGUGGAGAAAAGGGAUAACAGCAAAGAACGGCAGCUUAAAAAUGAUUUUUAAAGUCUAAUACAGGACUAGGGUGAAUUAGCGAACCAUGUAAGUGCCAGACGGGCUACUGGCUCCCACAGGAUAUCUCCCCAGGCAACGGCUCACCUUGAAAAUGAAAGCAGCAGCAAGCCAAAAUAGAUACAGAAGACUAACAGUCUGUUAUAUUUAUUUCUAAUAUUGAUUGAAAAAAAUCAAUUUAUAUUCUAUGUGCCAGACACUUAAUAUACAUCAUCUCAAAUAAUCCUACAGGAAUCCUGUAAGAGAGAUAUCAUCCCUAUUCUACAGCUAAAAAAAAAUUGUGGCAGAAAGGUUAAGUGACUCACCCAAUGUCACCCAACGAGUAUAUGCACAUUUCAGGCCUGACAGAGCUUCAUGACAAAGGGCCUGAGCAUCUACUGGGAACAUUCUGAUUUUAUAAGUGCUUUUUACCAUAGACCAGGGACCAGCAAACGCUUUCUCAGAGGGACAAAUGGUAAGUAUUUUACACUUUGUGGGCCAUAGAAUCCCUGUUGCACACCCCCCCCCCCAACCCGUUAAUGCACCAAGACAGCCAUCGACACUACGUAAACAAAUGAGCAUGGCUGUUCUCCCAUAAAACCAGAGGCCAGUCUGCCAACUCCUGUUCUAGAAUGAGGGUCGACAAACUGCAGCCCUGGACCAGGUCCAGCCCACCAUGGAUUUUUGUAAACAAUGCUUUAUUCGUUUAUGAUCUAGAUCUAGGCUGUCAUCUAGACCGUUUCUAGAUAGUUGAAGGGUAACUCAAGGAGCUAAAAUAAUGCCCCAGUUUCACAGAAACAUUCUCGGGAGCGUCCAGCUCUUUGUUCUAAACUUCCUUAACAAACAGUGUUCUGAUUCCUAAUCUGUGGCCUGUGUGAUCCAGCCCUCCAGUGGGAGAGCCCUGAUACACACCUGCUACCUGACAGGUGACUGACCUUUCACUGCAAAGGAACAGUGACAUUCUACAUCCUCAAUUAAUAAGUCAUCAGUUUCUGGAAGACUCAAUGCCUUUGGGGAGCUGAAAAAACAGAAACAGAGAUUCUUAACCUGAAAGGAUGGGUGGUCAGAGACUGACAAAUCAGUUAAUAUGUUCAUUCUAAUUUUUAGGAAGUGUCUCCUCUGUGCCAGUGGAAAUACAUGUGAACGCCAGACGGAAAAGACUGACUCGUAGCACUUGAGUACUUUAUGUGCAGCAAAUCUAUGUUGUUACUUGUGACACCACAAGACCUGAGCUGAACUGUAACCCACUCUCAAGCAAGCAGACAAGUGGUGUUGCUGUGAUAGCUACUGCAGUAAGAUGAGGACCCUGGCUCAUCUUGUUGAGAGCAGCAGCUACGGGAGCAGAGCCCACGAGCUCUAGGAGGAAGGGACUGUGCUGGCUCAAUGCCCAGAGAGAGCAGGAGCUCCAAGACCUGUUGUCUAUAUUAUUAUGGAUUACCUCCAUGGCUCCUGAUGAACUAGGGUGUGAAUGGCCUGGUCUGACAGUCAGAUUUUUCUAACUCUCAUGUUAUCAGGAUCAAAUGCUCCAUACCUGGACUGUCUGGUAAUCGGAAGCAUCGAUCCCUUUCACGGUAACCUCUCGGAAGACUCGUGGCUCCAGCUCCUCUUUGGUGAGGUCACAGUGAUAAAUGAUACCUAGAAGGAAGCGGAAGUCCUGAUUUAGUCCACAAGCUCACUGGCUGCAAGGGGGCAAGGGCACACAGCACAACUGGAUGCCAUGAAUCACAAGAGAGGAACAUGAGUUGGGGACCUGCUGCCAUGUGAGGGUCACUGUGCCAAGAGUGCUUAUUAGAACAGUCUGCGCAUGGAGUGUUCACCUUUCCUCACUGCCACCACACACAGCGUUUUGACGACCAUCAUCUGUCGUAUACAUUUUAGAAGAUUCCAUAGCAUUCCGUGAGUAUGAGAAGAGGUAAAAACUGUAAGAGUGAAAACUUAACAGGUCUUCCCUAUGCUGGGUCACUUAGGAAUGCAGGUCAAAAAAGAUGGCGAACUUCAUGUAGGGCCACUUCACCUUGAGAGGUGAAUUAAGAUGGAAAACUCAAAUGACUGGCCCCAAGUCAACAACCAGCCAGAAGCCUCCUGAUGGGAACUCUGGGGCUCCUGACACCAGAUACCCACCUGUCCGUGCACACACACGUGGACAGCAGUCAGGGACCAGAGAUGACCAGGUACCAUUUUAGAGCUACUUUAAAAAUUUUUAUUAUCCCAGGAAUUGUGCACAACACAAAUGAAUGAAUGUACACCAAGAAUGCCAGCUUAUUUAAACACUAAUUAAAAAUCCAUUUCCUGAAUUUAAUGCUAUUACACUUUAACACUUAAGAACUAAAUCAAAGAAACAAUAAGACGAGUUGUUACUAUUUGAAAACUGCAGUGGUUUAUGAAACAGAAUUAGUCAUCCAGAGUGGCUGGUGCGGAAACAGCCCUCCCACACAAUACAUUAAACAUACACUGUCAGAUAGAUGAAAAAAUCGAUUUAGCGAUCCCAAUACUUGCUGGAAAACUUGAAACUAAAUGGUACUCCCACAGGGUACAUCUGAAGUGACUGAUCAGGUAUUAAAAUGGUGGCUCUCUUUCUUCUCAAUUCCUCUGUGCAUGUAUUUCAUUAACAGAUGAGAAGGGAUACUCUGUACCCCCAGUGGCAAAGAAUAAUAGUUUACACUCAUUAACAGCAAGGCUGCUGAUCCCUAUGAAUGUCACUGCAAUUCUCAUGCUUACAGACAAAUUAUUUUAAGGUACUAUAAUUGGAAGUAUGAUGAAUAUUGACAGAGAGAAGAUACGUAACAUGACCCAAGUAUUGGCUUUCCUGGUUUAAGUCAUACUUGGGUAUUUAUUAAAAUACAUCUUCAUACAUACAGUACUUCCAAACUACGCUCUGGGCAUACAUUCUAAUGUACCAGAUAUACUGAUUAUUGUCCUUGCCUAGAGGAAUGUAAUCUUGAAGGCAAGGCUAUUUUCAGAUAUAUGUUAAUUUUUGAAUAGCUUCUUGAUCCGUACUUGCUUCCCUUCCUCAAAACACACAAAAAAGUCCAAAUCCUGGAAAAAAAAAAACCCCAGACAUCCAAACAACUAACAAAAAUGAUUGCAGACCGAGCAUGUGCUAUUUGAGCGCCUGCCUCACUCUGGUAUCACUGCAACCUGUACUGCAGUGAAUGAGAAAGCACCUGGCAGCCAGGAUUCCCGCCUCUGACAGUUGCUGGGCCAGUGACCUUAGACAAAUCACCAAAGUAUUAGAAUGCAAAUUCCUUUGUGAAAGACAAUAAAUAGGAAAUGUA